rnacentral:rRNA from 1 species
UCAGGUGGUUAUAGCACGAGGGUUCCACCUCUUCCCAUUCCGAACAGAGAAGUUAAGCCUCGUCACGCCGAUGGU